UACGUAGGGUGCAAGCGUUAAUCGGAAUUACUGGGCGUAAAGCGUGCGCAGGCGGUUAUGUAAGACAGAUGUGAAAUGCCCGGGCUUAACCUGGGAACUGCAUUUGUGACUGCAUGGCUAGAGUUUGGCAGAGGGGGGUAGAAUUCCACGUGUAGCAGCGAAAUGCGUAGAUAUGUGGAGGAACACCGAUGGCGAAGGCAGCCCCCUGGGUCAAGACUGACGCUCAUGCACGAAAGCGUGGGGAGCAAACAGG
rnacentral:rRNA from 1 species